AGAACAAUAUGUGUCUGGGGAGGAUGUGACUAUGUUGGCAUCCAUGUGUAAGUUGAAAGCUGGUCGCUUGGCACGUGAGGUGACUGACUCGUGUCUUCAGAUGUGGGGAGGAAUGGGUUACACUAAUGAGGUUCUGGUGAGUCGCCUGUAUCGAGAUUUGCGGUUGUUCUCCAUUGGAGGAGGUGCAGAUGAAGUUAUGCUCAGUAUUAUUUGUAAACUUAUGGGAAUGCUUCCUCGUCCUUCAAAGAGUAGCAAAGAGUAAACACACCCCCUCACACCACCACAGCUGUACAGCAGCAGCAUUUAGUCAAAGCUAAUAUGUGUCUUGGAAUAAACUGAAUUAUUAUUUUUUUUGUGAAGCAAAAGCUUCACAAAAUUAUUAUGCCAGUAACUGAGUAAAAUUGAGUUUAAGUACUUACUGAAUGGCUGCAUUUUUGUACGUUGUUAUAAGGCAUUUGAACCAUGUGUGUAUGGUGGAUAUGUUAUAUAUCUUUAUAUAUGCUUCUAAACUGUUGUAUCUGGGUACCUCUGCAAAGACAGUUAUUAUGUAUGAGUAAGGUGAAAGUGUUGAAUGAUGAUGAAAGUAUUUUCUUUUUGGGAAUUUUCUUUCUUUUUGGGUCACCCUGCCUCGGUGGGAGAUGGCCAACUUGUUGAAAAAAAAAUAAGUGCUGAAUGAUCUCAUGGGCACUUGUAAAUCCUACAUCUUUCUUUCACUCCUAUAUACAGUGGACCCCCGCAUAACGAUCACCUCCGAAUGCCACCAAUUAUGUAAGUGUAUUUAUGUAAGUGCAUUUGUACGUGUAUGUUUGGGGGUCUGAAAUGGACUAAUCUACUUCACAAUAUUCCUUAUGGGAACAAAUUCGGUCAGUACUGGCACCUGAACAUACUUCUGGAGUGAAAAAAUAUCGUUAACCGGGGGUCCACUGUACUCUGUCAGUAUUUUAACUUUUUUUCACAUGUGCUAUUUGAAAACACCUUGCUGAAAACAUCCAAUAUCAGUUUGUUAUAUGUCUUUUAAGAUUAGGUCAUUCUAAUGAGCCAUAAUUGUCGGUUACUGCAGUAAUCACUGUCCUCAAGUCUCACUUGUAUUAUAUGCUAGAGUGAUCUUUAGGUACAGUGGACCCCCGCAUAGCGAACUUAAUCCGUGCAAGAGGGCUGGUCGUUAUGCGAAAUGUUCGCUAUGCGAAUUAAUUUUCCCCAUAAGAAAUAAUGGAAAUAAAAUUAAUCCGUGCAAGACACCCAAAAGUAUGAAAAAAAAUUUUUUUUACCACAAAAAAAUGUUAAUUUUAGUACACACAAAAUGAAAAAGGCAUGCACAAUUACAUGACACUUACUUUUAUUGAAGAUCUGGUGAUGAUUGAUGGGAUGGGAGGAGGGGAGAGAGAGUGUUAGUGUUUAGAAGGGGAAUCCCCUUCCAUUAGGACUUGAGGUAGCAAGUCCUUUUCCGGGGUUACUUCCCUUCUUCUUUUAAUGCCACUAGGACCAGCUUCAGAGUCACUGGACCUCUGUCGCACAACAAAUCUGUCCAUAGAGCUCUGUACCUCCCGUUCCUUUACGAUUUGUCUAAAAUGGGCCAUAACAUUGUCAUUGAAAUAGUCACCAGCACGGCUUGCAACAGCUGUGUCAGGUGAUUUUCAUCCAUAAAGGUUUGCAGUUCAACCCACUGUGCACACAUUUCCUUAAUUUUUGAAGUAGGCACAAUGGAUUCCACAACUGGCAUAGGCUUCUCAGGGUUAGCCCCAAACCUUUCAAAAUCUUUCUUAAUUUCCAUACUAAUUCUCACCCUUUUUACCACAGGGUUGGCACUAGAAGCUUUCUUGGGGCCAUGGUCACUUAUUUUCCAGAAACAGCACCGAAAACACUGUAAUAAUACGAAAUAUUCCGAGUGUAUGCUUGAAUGUUACCGCGGAGGCUGGCUGGUAAACAAUGGGACGGGCGGCACAUGUGAGGCUGGCUGAGGCCGCACAUUGGACGCGUCUCGGACGAAGGUCGCUGAGCGGGUUUUUGUCCACUAUGCGGGGCAAAAUUUUGGCGAACAAAGCGUUCGCUAUGCGGAUUGUUCGCUAUGCAAGGCGUUCGCUAUGCGGGGGUCCACUGUAUAUUCAUAUCUAGCUGGUAAUGUUUUUGGUAAAUCUCUUCUAAUAUGGCAAGUCUAGUCAGACUGACAUUAUAUUUGGUCACAAAAACUAAAAGUCUUAUCAGAAUAUUCCUAUUCAUGAUGACAAAUACUAAAUCUAUUCAGAAUGACUGAUUUAUACCUCAUCUUACAUACUGUAAGUAAUGAUGUUUGUAUCAAACACGCCAUUACAUUUUACUUGAAAAAGUACGUAUUUGUAUGGACAGUUUGCUAGUUAGUCUUGGUUUUAAAAUCAGAGUACUUUUAUACAUUGUUACUGUAAUAUAAGUACCACCACACUCACUAAAUUAGGAAAAUAGAUUUUUUUUUUUUAACAAGUUGGCCGUCUCCCACCGAGGCAGGGUGACCCAAAAAGAAAGAAAAUCCCCAAAAAGAAAAUAUUUUCAUCAUCAUUCAACACUUUCACCAAGUAGUGGAAACAUUUAUUGGGUAUAUCUAAAUAAUUUUUCAUGAUACUUAUGUUAAUUUUUUUAAGUAACCUUCAUGAAGUAUGUAGCAAAAAUAUUAAUGUAAUUAUAUCUUAUAAUAUUCAACAUUGUUAUUUUUAUACAUCAGAGUUUAUUUGGCUUUUCCAUAAAUAUAUGUAUUUUAAAAUAAAUAAUGUGUACAAGUUUAAAA